ACACCUCAACUCUCAUGGUUUGCCAUGAUGAGCUUGGACCCUGGGGGUUUUGCUGGCCUGUAGUCGGCUCCCCUCAAAUGGAUCAGCUUCCCAGUGUUUGGUGGCGUCAUGGGUGUGAUAACUAUCUACGCUCACGAUUGUCUGCCAGGUAACCUUUGGCGACAAAGGUUUGCUGGAGCUUACAAAUGUCUCUCCUCUGUGGGGACAACUUUUAAC
rnacentral:misc_RNA from 1 species